UGGGCGAGGAGGUUUGAGGAGACAUAUGUUGAAUUGAAUCGUUCGAGCAGCGGACGGGUGAGUAAAGCACAAGGACUUGUCCGAAAGAGAGGGACACCUGCGGGAAACCGGAGCUAAUACCUCAUAAGCCGGAAGGUGAAAAGCAGAGAUGCGCUUUUGGAGAGACUUGUGUCCUAUCAGGCAGUUGGUGAGGUGAAAGCUCACCAAACCGAAGACGGGUAGCCGGACUGAGAGGUCGACCGGCCACAUUGGAACUGAGAGACGGUCCAGACUCCUACGGGAGGCAGCAGUGGGGAAUAUUGGGCAAUGGGCGGAAGCCUGACCCAGCGACGCCGCGUGAGGGAAGACAGCCUUCGGGUUGUAAACCUCUGUUGCAGGGGAAGAAGGAAGUGACGGUACCCUGCGAGGAAGCUCCGGCUAACUACGUGCCAGCAGCCGCGGUAAUACGUAGGGAGCGAGCGUUGUCCGGAAUUACUGGGCGUAAAGGGCGCGUAGGCGGCGCUUCAAGUCGUCUGUCAAAUGGAAGGGCUUAACCCUUUUUCGCAGACGAAACUGGAGAGCUUGAGAAGCAGAGAGGCAAACAGAAUUCCUGGUGUAGCGGUGAAAUGCGUAGAUAUCAGGAAGAAUACCAGUGGCGAAGGCGGUUUGCUGGCUGCAUACUGACGCUGAAGCGCGAAAGCCAGGGGAGCGAACGGGAUUAGAUACCCCGGUAGUCCUGGCAGUAAACGAUGUAUGCUGGGUGUGAGACUAGCGAUAGUUUCGUGCCGAAGUUAACGCGAUAAGCAUACCGCCUGGGG
rnacentral:rRNA from 1 species